AGACAGGUGCUGCAUGGCUGUCGUCAGCUCGUGCCGUGAGGUGUUGGGUAAGUCCCGCAACGAGCGCAACCCUAUUGCCAGUUGCUACCAGGUAAUGCUGGGCACUCUGGUGAGACUGCCCGGUUAACGGGGAGGAAGGUGGGGACGACGUCAAGUCAUCAUGGCCCUUACGCCUAGGGCUACACACGUACUACAAUGGCGCAUACAAAGGGCAGCGAUACCGCGAGGUGGAGCCAAUCCCAAAAAGUGCGUCCCAGUCCGGAUUGCAGUCUGCAACUCGACUGCAUGAAGUUGGAAUCGCUAGUAAUUCGAGAUCAGCAUGCUCGGGUGAAUGCGUUCCCGGGCCUU
rnacentral:rRNA from 1 species